AUUGAACGCUGGCGGCAGGCCUAACACAUGCAAGUCGAACGGUAACAGGAAGAAGCUUGCUUCUUUGCUGACGAGUGGCGGACGGGUGAGUAAUGUCUGGGAAACUGCCUGAUGGAGGGGGAUAACUACUGGAAACGGUAGCUAAUACCGCAUAACGUCGCAAGACCAAAGAGGGGGACCUUCGGGCCUCUUGCCAUCGGAUGUGCCCAGAUGGGAUUAGCUAGUAGGUGGGGUAACGGCUCACCUAGGCGACGAUCCCUAGCUGGUCUGAGAGGAUGACCAGCCACACUGGAACUGAGACACGGUCCAGACUCCUACGGGAGGCAGCAGUGGGGAAUAUUGCACAAUGGGCGCAAGCCUGAUGCAGCCAUGCCGCGUGUAUGAAGAAGGCCUUCGGGUUGUAAAGUACUUUCAGCGAGGAGGAAGGGAGUAAAGUUAAUACCUUUGCUCAUUGACGUUACCCGCAGAAGAAGCACCGGCUAACUCCGUG
rnacentral:rRNA from 1 species